GGAAAAUGACUUCCCCCAAAAAAAAGGGGAAGUCAUUUUCCGGAAAAUAGGUGUGAUUUUCCAUUGACCAUAAGUUGUUUUCCAUUGACUUUCAUUUUCCUUGCGUAGCCAAACACCAGAAACCCGGAAAAUGAUUUCCAGAAAUCAUUUUCCGGGUUUCCAAACACACCCUAAGAUGAAUAUAUUUGGC